rnacentral:rRNA from 1 species
AGCGAACGCCGGCGGCAGGCCUAACACAUGCAAGUCGAACGAACCCUUCGGGGUUAGUGGCGGACAGGUGAGUAACACGUGGGAACGUGCCUUUAGGUUCGGAAUAACUCAGGGAAACUUGUGCUAAUACCGAAUGUGCCCUUCGGGGGAAAGACUUAUCGCCUUUAGAGCGGCCUGCGUCUGAUUAGCUAGUUGGUGAGGUAAUGGCUCACCAAGGCUACGAUCAGUAGCUGGUCUGAGAGGAUGACCAGCCACAUUGGGACUGAGACACGGCCCAAACUCCUACGGGAGGCAGCAGUGGGGAAUCUUGCGCAAUGGGCGAAAGCCUGACGCAGCCAUGCCGCGUGGAUGAUGAAGGUCUUAGGAUUGUAAAAUCCUUUCACCGGUGAAGAUAAUGACUGUAGCCGGAGAAGAAGCCCCGGCUAACUUCGUGCCAGCCGCCGCAGUAACAC